rnacentral:rRNA from 1 species
GACGAACGCUGGCGGCAGGCCUAACACAUGCAAGUCGAACGAGUGGCGGAAGGGUGAGUAAUGUCUGGGAAACUGCCUGAUGGAGGGGGAUAACUACUGGAAACGGUAGCUAAUACCGCAUACCAUCAGAUGUGCCCAGAUGGGAUUAGCUAGUAGGUGGGGUAACGGCUCACCUAGGCGACGAUCCGUAGCUGGUCUGAGAGGAUGACCAACCACACUGGAUCUGUGACACGGUCCAGACGAAUACGGGGGGCAGCAGUGGGGAAGAUUGCACAAUGGGGGUAAUCCUGAUGCAGCCAUGCCGCGAGUAGGCAGUGGGCCUGCGGGUUGAAAAGUACAUGCAGCGGUGAGGCGUUACCCGCAGAGGAAGAACCGGCUAAAUCCGUGCCAGCAGCCGCGGUAAUUC